AGCGAACGCUGGCGGCAGGCCUAACACAUGCAAGUCGAACGAACCCUUCGGGGUUAGUGGCGGACGGGUGAGUAACACGUGGGAACGUGCCUUUAGGUUCGGAAUAACUCAGGGAAACUUGUGCUAAUACCGAAUGUGCCCUUCGGGGGAAAGAUUUAUCGCCUUUAGAGCGGCCCGCGUCUGAUUAGCUAGUUGGUGAGGUAAUGGCUCACCAAGGCUACGAUCAGUAGCUGGUCUGAGAGGAUGACCAGCCACAUUGGGACUGAGACACGGCCCAAACUCCUACGGGAGGCAGCAGUGGGGAAUCUUGCGCAAUGGGCGAAAGCCUGACGCAGCCAUGCCGCGUGGAUGAUGAAGGUCUUAGGAUUGUAAAAUCCUUUCACCGGUGAAGAUAAUGACUGUAGCCGGAGAAGAAGCCCCGGCUAACUUCGUGCCAGCCGCCGCAGUAA
rnacentral:rRNA from 1 species